rnacentral:rRNA from 1 species
AGAGUUUGAUCCUGGCUCAGAUUGAACGCUGAUGCUUUACACAUGCAAGUCGAACGGUAACAGGGAGCUUGCUCCGCUGACGAGUGGCGAACGGGUGAGUAAUGCAUCGGAACGUGCCGUGUAGUGGGGGAUAACGUAGCGAAAGUUACGCUAAUACCGCAUACGCCCCGAGGGGGAAAGUGGGGGACCAAGGCCUCACGCUAUACGAGCGGCCGAUGUCGGAUUAGCUAGUUGGUAGGGUAAAGGCCUACCAAGGCGACGAUCCGUAGCGGGUCUGAGAGGAUGAUCCGCCACACUGGGACUGCCUACCAAGGCGACGAUCCGUAGCGGGUCUGAGAGGAUGAUCCGCCACACUGGGACUGCCUACCAAGGCGACGAUCCGUAGCGGGUCUGAGAGGAUGAUCCGCCACACUGGGACUGAACACGGCCCAGACUCCUACGGGAGGCAGCAGUGGGGAAUUUUGGACAAUGGGCGCAAGCCUGAUCCAGCCAUGCCGCGUGAGUGAAGAAGGCCUUCGGGUUGUAAAGCUCUUUCAGACGGAAAGAAAUCGGUGUGUCUAAUAAACGCACUGGAUGACGGUACCGUAAGAAGAAGCACCGGCUAACUACGUGCCAGCAGCCGCGGUAAUACGUAGGGUGCGAGCGUUAAUCGGAAUUACUGGGCGUAAAGCGUGCGCAGGCGGUUAUGUAAGACAGAUGUGAAAUCCCCGGGCUCAACCUGGGAACUGCGUUUGUGACUGCAUAACUAGAGUACGGCAGAGGGAGGUGGAAUUCCACGUGUAGCAGUGAAAUGCGUAGAGAUGUGGAGGAACACCGAUGGCGAAAGCAGCCUCCUGGGCCAGUACUGACGCUCAUGCACGAAAGCGUGGGGAGCAAACAGGAUUAGAUACCCUGUAGUCCACGCCCUAAACGAUGUCAACUAGUUGUUCGGUGAGGAGACUCAUUGAGUAACGCAGCUAACGCGUGAAGUUGACCGCCUGGGGAGUACGGCCGCAAGGUAAAACUCAAAGGAAUUGACGGGGACCCGCACAGCGUGAUGAUGUGAUAUCGAUGCACGCGAAAA